rnacentral:rRNA from 1 species
AUUGAACGCUGGCGGCAGGCUUAACACAUGCAAGUCGAGCGGAGACUUCGGUCUUAGCGGCGAACGGGUGAGUAAUACCUAGGAAUCUGCCUAUUAGUGGGGGAUAACGAAUCGAAAGGUUCGCUAAUACCGCAUACGUCCUACGGGAGAAAGGGGGGAGUCUUCGGACCUCUCGCUAAUAGAUGAGCCUAGGCCGGAUUAGCUAGUUGGUAGGGUAAAGGCCUACCAAGGCGACGAUCUGUAGCUGGUCUGAGAGGAUGGCCAGCCACACUGGAACUGAGACACGGUCCAGACUCCUACGGGAGGGCAGCAGUGGGGGAAGU